rnacentral:rRNA from 1 species
AGAGUUUGAUCCUGGCUCAGAACGUACGCUGGCGGCACGCCUAACACAUGCAAGUCGAACGCAGUAGCAAUACUGAGUGGCAAACGGGUGAGUAUAAUGUGGGAAUCUGCCUUUUGGUUUGGAAUAACACGGGGAAACUUGUGCUAAUACCGAAUAAGCCCUUACGGGGAAAGUUUUAAUGCCGAAAGAUGAGCCCGCACUUGAUUAGCUAGUUGGUAAGGUAAAAGCUUACCAAGGCAAUGAUCAAUAGCUGUUCUUAGAGGAAGACCAGCCACAUUGGGACUGAGACACGGCCCAGACUCCUACGGGAGGCAGCAGUGGGGAAUCUUGCACAAUGGGGGAAACCCUGAUGCAGCGAUGCCGCGUGAGUGAAGAAGGCCUUUGGGUUGUAAAACUCUUUCGUCGGGGAAGAAAAUGACUGUACCCGAAUAAGAAGGUCCGGCCAACUUCGUGCCAGCAGCCGCGGUAAUAC